rnacentral:rRNA from 1 species
AGGGGUAUAUUUCUUCGGAGAUAGAGACCGGCGCACGGGUGCGUAACGCGUAUGCAAUCUACCUUUCACAGAGGGAUAGCCCAGAGAAAUUUGGAUUAAUACCUCAUAGUAUUACGAAAUGGCAUCAUUUUGUAAUUAAAGUCACAACGGUGAAAGAUGAGCAUGCGUCCCAUUAGCUAGUUGGUAAGGUAACGGCUUACCAAGGCUACGAUGGGUAGGGGUCCUGAGAGGGAGAUCCCCCACACUGGUACUGAGACACGGACCAGACUCCUACGGGAGGCAGCAGUGAGGAAUAUUGGACAAUGGGCGCAAGCCUGAUCCAGCCAUGCCGCGUGCAGGAUGACGGUCCUAUGGAUUGUAAACUGCUUUUGCACAGGAAGAAACAACGCUACGUGUAGCGUCUUGACGGUACUGUGAGAAUAAGGAUCGGCUAACUCCGUGCCAGCAGCCGCGGUAAUACGGAGGAUCCAAGCGUUAUCCGGAAUCAUUGGGUUUAAAGGGUCCGUAGGCGGUUUAGUAAGUCAGUGGUGAAAGCCCAUCGCUCAACGGUGGAACGGCCAUUGAUACUGCUAGACUUGAAUUAUUAGGAAGUAACUAGAAUAUGUAGUGUAGCGGUGAAAUGCUUAGAGAUUACAUGGAAUACCAAUUGCGAAAGCAGGUUACUACUAAUGGAUUGACGCUGAUGGACGAAAGCGUGGGUAGCGAACAGGAUUAGAUACCCUGGUAGUCCACGCCGUAAACGAUGGAUACU